AGCGAACGCUGGCGGCAGGCUUAACACAUGCAAGUCGAGCGGGCAUCCUUGUGGUGUCAGCGGCAGACGGGUGAGUAACGCGUGGGAACGUGCCCUUCGGUUCGGAAUAACUCAGGGAAACUUGAGCUAAUACCGGAUACGUGCGAGAGCAGAAAGGUUUAUCUGCCGAAGGAUCGGCCCGCGUCUGAUUAGCUAGUUGGUGAGGUUAUGGCUCACCAAGGCGACGAUCAGUAGCUGGUCUGAGAGGAUGAUCAGCCACACUGGGACUGAGACACGGCCCAGACUCCUACGGGAGGCAGCAGUGGGGAAUAUUGGACAAUGGGGGCAACCCUGAUCCAGCCAUGCCGCGUGAGUGAUGACGGCCUUAGGGUUGUAAAGCUCUUUUAUCCGGGACGAUAAUGACGGUACCGGAGGAAUAAGCCCCGGCUAACUUCGUG
rnacentral:rRNA from 1 species